rfam:TPA: Bos taurus chromosome 15, whole genome shotgun sequence.
UCCGUGGUGUCUCAGACAGUAAAGAAUCUGCCUGUGAUGCAGGAGACCCAGGUUUGAAUCCUGGCUCUGGAA